rnacentral:rRNA from 1 species
UACGUAGGGCGCAAGCGUUGUCCGGAAUUAUUGGGCGUAAAGAGCUCGUAGGCGGCUUGUCACGUCGGGUGUGAAAGCCCGGGGCUUAACCCCGGGUCUGCAUUCGAUACGGGCUAGCUAGAGUGUGGUAGGGGAGAUCGGAAUUCCUGGUGUAGCGGUGAAAUGCGCAGAUAUCGGGAAGAACACCUAUGGCGAAGGCAGCUCUCUGGGACGGUACUGACGCUGAGACGCGAAAGCGUGGGUAGCAAACAGG